GUCCUUUAGAAUUUAAUUUAAGGUCUAGCCUGCCCACUGAUUUAUUUUAAAUGGCCGCAGUAAUUUGACUGUGCAAAGGUAGCAUAAUCAUUAGUUUUUUAAUUGAAAGCUUGUAUGAAAGGUUGGACGAGGUAAAAUCUGUCUCUAAUUAAUUUAAUUUAGAAUUUAACUUUUAAGUCAAAAGGCUUAAAUAUAAUUAAAAGACGAGAAGACCCUAUAGAUCUUUAUAAUUUAUUUAUUAAAUUUAAUUAAGAAUUUUUUAAAUUUUAUUAAUUUAAUUAUUUUAUUGGGGUAAUAUAAAGAUUAAAUUAAUUCUUUUUUUUUAUUAACAUUAAUUUAUGAUUUCAUGAUCCAAUUUUAUUGGCUAUAAGAUUAAGUUACCUUAGGGAUAACAGCGUUAUUUUUUUAGAGAGUUCUUAUCGAUAAAAAAGUUUACGACCUCGAUGUUGGAUUAAAGAUUAUUUCAGGUGUAGAAGUUUGAAAAUUUUGGUCUGUUCGACCAUUAAAUCUUUACAUGAUCUGAGUUCAGACCGGUGUAAGCCAGGUCGGUUUCUAUCUUUAAUAAAUUAAAAUAUUUUAGUACGAAAGGACCAAUUAUUUGAUAUAAAAUAUUUAAAUUUUGAUUAUUAUUAA
rnacentral:rRNA from 1 species